rnacentral:rRNA from 1 species
UAACACGUAGGGGGCAAGCGUUGUCCGGAUUUAUUGGGCGUAAAGAGCUCGUAGGCGGCUUGGUAAGUCAGGUGUGAAACCCCCGGGCUCAACCCGGGGACGCCACCUGAUACUGCUAUGGCUUGAGUCCGGUAGGGGAGCGUGGAAUUCCUGGUGUAGCGGUGAAAUGCGCAGAUAUCAGGAGGAACACCAGCGGCGAAGGCGGCGCUCUGGGCCGGAACUGACGCUGAGGAGCGAAAGCGUGGGGAGCAAACAGGAUUAGAUACCCUGGUAGUCCACGCUGUAAACGUUGGGCACUAGGUGUGGGGCGUUACCAAAGCGUUCCGUGCCGUAGCUAACGCAUUAAGUGCCCCGCCUGGGGAGUACGGCCGCAAGGCUA